GAUGAAGAACGUAGCGAAAUGCGAUAAGUAAUGUGAAUUGCAGAAUCCAGUGAAUCAUCGAAUCUUUGAACGCACAUUGCGCCCGCCAGCAUUCUGGCGGGCAUGCCUGUUCGAGCGUCAUUUCAACCCUCGACCUCCCUUUGGGGAAGUCGGCGUUGGGGACCGGCAGCACACCGCCGGCCCUGAAAUGGAGUGGCGGCCCGUCCGCGGCGACCUCUGCGUAGUAAUCCAACUCGCACCGGAACCCCGACGCGGCCGCGCCGUAAAACACCCAACUUCUGAACGUUGACCUCGAAUCAGGUAGGACUACCCGCUGAACUUAAGCAUAUCAAUAAGCGGAGGA
rnacentral:misc_RNA from 1 species